UGAUCAAAAGAUUUGUGAUUAUAAACGUGCAAAUUAUAUACUAAAACAAUUGCAAUGUAGAAACGGCACAAAAUGUGAAAGAACGCUAAAAUCCCAACCAAACAUUGAACGUUCUAGUGGAAUUUGGACACAACAUUGGAAUUGGAGAAUACCAUCAGCUGGCCAAGUGGCCUAACCUUCUUUAUAAGUAUAAGUAUUUUCUUUAUUGAGACUUUUUUUCCAAUACACCCCUAUGGGAGCCAGACGUCAUUUUAGUGUAGAAUUGAGGCAAGAUGUUUUGGUCAGAAUUGUUGUCGGUAAUUUCGCUGAGGAUGGAAAUAGGAGAAAGAAUAACUUCUGAUGGUGCAAAGCAUAUCUACACAGAGGCUGGAUUUUUGCGGCGUCGUAUAUGGAUUUUGCGCUCAAAGAUUUCAAGUUCCAUGGUCACCACAGGAGAGAUUGGAAACCAGAUGGUAAACCCAUAUAGCAGUACAGACCUGAUUGCUACCUUAUUAAGCAAUAAUUUGGUGUUCUGAGGGUGGCCCUCGCAUGUGAACUAAAUUUCAUCAGGUUGGUGAUAUUAAUGCCCAGUAGUCAUUAAUCAAGCUGAGGUGAGCGGAUGCAUUAGAAAGGGCCAGUCUAGGUGAGGAAUUUUGCGCAUAUAUUAUACAGUCAUCAGCGUACAGGAUUGCUUGCGAAUCUCGACUGGUAUGAGGGAAGUCAUAUAAUAACAUGUUUAAUAAAAAAGGCGCUAGAACACUCCCCUGAGGGACUCCGCUUCCAACGCUUUCCGGAGAUGAUAUUGUAUCUUGGAUCUUCACGGUGAAGUAACGUUUGUACAGGAUUCCUUUUUGGCAGGCAGAGUUAAAGGCUUUUUCUAUGUCUAGCACAAUGGCAGCAGUACUGGAUUGGUUUCUAAGAUUACGGAUUUGUUCGUAAAUUUUGCAGACAUUGGAAAGUAAUGAUAUUGGACGGUAUUCAGCCACCGUUUUGCUGAUUGGAUUUUUCUUUAUUGGUAUAAUAAUGGCCUUUUUCCACUGCAACGGAAAGUAUCCCAGAUUAAUGCAGUGGUUAAAAAUACAUUCAAGGAAUUUUAGUGAAGA
rnacentral:sRNA from 1 species